UAUGGCACCCUGAUCUUGAGCUUG
rnacentral:misc_RNA from 1 species